CCUGCCUACUAGUAUUUAUUUCCUGCCUACGAGCUUGAUUUAAGUAAUUAGUAACAGACCAAUAAACGAGGUAUUGAGAACGAAAGCAAAGAAAGGUAGCCUUGGUAUCAGUAGUUAGAGAAUGAAAAGAACAACUCAAAAUCUUAUAGUUGUGUGCAUAGUAGCGGAACGAUAUGCAGUAAAGUCAGACUUGUUGUCGUUGGUUGUAUUCCUUGUUUCUUUGUGCAGUGUUUUAGCCUCGUUGUGCACAGUUGAUAGCCCAGUUAUUAGUUAAAGUAUUAGAGCUCGUAUUUGAAUUCCCGGUUGCUAGCUCAGGUCUUGUUAGCGCUUGUUCCAUCUCUACUGAUAGUAGUUAAAGUGAAGUGAUGGUUGGAGAAUUCUAUAAGGUAGUAUUGGGCUUAAAACGGGAGUAGCAGGCUCAUAGGCAAGGCAAUAAAGUCAGAUUCCGGUUCCUUAGUUUAAGUACUAGUUUUGAGUUAAAAGUAAUUAGGCACUGUUCGAUUCGAUUCUCUAGUGCACAGGAAUUGAGUGACUACUAAAAAGAAGCGAGCUACUUACAAAUAGGCUUGCUUGCUAUGCUCACUUUUCUUCUUCAAUUACUAACUAUCGGGCAUAACCCACGGAGUAGUAAAUACAGAAGAUAACUCAUAUCUGUAUAAGACUCAUUUUGGUAGUGGUAUGGGCCUGGAAAGUGGCGAUAAAGAACUAAACCUCUAUAGUAGUUGUAGCUUGGCCGUUACUUGGCGAAAACGGAAACCACCAAUCCUGUCUCUUAUUCUGGCACUCCCUACUGGCAUUCCUUAUCCCCCUGUUGAAAACUUAUACUACUUAUUUGAAUUCUGAUAUGAAAGUGGAAGCCUUAUACUUACUUAUUUCAUUCUUGCUUGUUUGCGGAGUUUCUUAUACUCCUUCCGCUACUUCUGAUGUUCGAUUGUCAGCCUUAUUGUUAGCUAGCUUCAAACUUCCCCUCGUUAGCUUCAUCUGUUAGUUCGAGUUAGAGGCUUAUUAGUUAUUCAACAUGGCAAGCCUUAUUGCCCUGCCUUAUAGUCUGCCCCAGGCCUCUCAGAGGUUAGUCUGACACCCGGAAAUUGAAGCCUUACUUGUUUGUUUAAUACUUAUUGCCUCUUGGUUAAAGCUUCGGCUCCUCGCUGAUAACUAAAGCUUUUCAGAAUGGACCUAGCGGCAUUAAGGCUUUGACUCAUAAUAUAGAGAAUGAAUACUGAUUUCCGAAUAGCGUAUUUAAUGGAUAGAAUACAGAGUAGCGCCAGUAAGAGCAUUAGACUCAAAUGAAAAAUCAUUGAACUCGAAACAAAGAAGUAAGGCCAUAACACGCACAUAAGAAUUUGCAUCAGUAAAGGCAGGCUCGUAGGCACCAGUUGAGAGUUGAGUUCCCGGGGUUGAGUUAAAGUUGUAGAAGCACUGUUUUGAGUCUGUUAGGCAGUAGCCCGGAGAGCGGGAGGAUAGUCACAUCCCCAGCAAGCAAGGGUCGAGUUCAGUAAAGCGAGGUUCAAGGUAAUUAGUAUAAGGCUUGGUAGCAUUGGGCUCAUCCUCUUACUUUUGGCAGUUAAUCUUUAUUCCCGGCUCCAUUCUCAUAAGUGGUGAUUUCACUCUCUCCAGUAGUAGUGGGCUCC
rnacentral:lncRNA from 1 species